GACGGGGCCGCACAAGCGGUGGAGCAUGUGGUUUAAUUCGAAGCAACGCGAAGAACCUUACCAGGUCUUGACAUCCCCUGACCAACCCGAGAGAUCGGGCGUUCCCCUUCGGGGGACAGGGUGACAGGUGGUGCAUGGUUGUCGUCAGCUCGUGUCGUGAGAUGUUGGGUUAAGUCCCGCAACGAGCGCAACCCUCGACCUUAGUUGCCAGCAUUCAGUUGGGCACUCUAAGGUGACUGCCGGCUAAAAGUCGGAGGAAGGUGGGGAUGACGUCAAAUCAUCAUGCCCCUUAUGACCUGGGCUACACACGUGCUACAAUGGGCGGUACAAAGGGUCGCGAACCCGCGAGGGGGAGCCAAUCCCAAAAAGCCGCUCUCAGUUCGGAUUGCAGGCUGCAACUCGCCUACAUGAAGUCGGAAUCGCUAGUAAUCGCGGAUCAGCACGCCGCGGUGAAUACGUUCCCGGGCCUU
rnacentral:rRNA from 1 species